GUUAGGAAUUAGAGAGAAUUGAGACUGGAUUCAGAAGGAGGACCUUAGGACAGUUUGUUUGAUGCAUGAGUUGAAGUGGUUGGCCCGCCGCCGCCAGAGGAGAUUUCUGGCACGGUGGAGACUCCCUUUUAUAGCAAAGGACUCAAGACUGGAGAAGGUUGAUCUAAACGUGUUUGAUUUGAGUGAAACUUUAAUUUCCCGUCUCUUGUGGAUUUGAUGGGCCUAAAGGCCCUUGGCCCAUGUAAUU
rnacentral:lncRNA from 1 species